UACGGGGGGGGCAAGCGUUGUUCGGAAUUACUGGGCGUAAAGGGCUCGUAGGCGGCCAACUAAGUCGGAUGUGAAAUCCCCAAGCUUAACUUGGGAACUGCAUCCGAUACUGGAUGGCUUGAAUCCGGGAGAGGGAUGCAGAAUUCCAGGUGUAGCGGUGAAAUGCGUAGAUAUCUGGAGGAACACCGGUGGCGAAGGCGGCAUCCUGGACCAAUUCUGACACUGAGGAGCGAAAGCCAGGGGAGCAAACGGG
rnacentral:rRNA from 1 species